UUUAUUAUUAAUAUUUUGCAAUUAAAUUAUUAAUAAUUUAAUUGGGGUGAUAAAAAAAGAAUAAGUAUCUUUUUAAUUGUAAAAUAAGUUCCGUUUUUAGCGAUUAAAUGAAAAAAAUACUCUAGGGAUAACAGCGUAAUAAUUUUGGAUAGCUCAUAUAGAUAAAAUAGUUUGCGACCUCGAUGUUGGAUUAGGAUUCUUUUUUGGUGAAGAAGUUAAAAAAAGAAGUUUGUUCAACUUUU
rnacentral:rRNA from 1 species